UGACCUUUAGUACGGCGAGUGAAGCGGCAAAAGCUCAAAUUUGAAAUCUGGUACCUUCGGUGCCCGAGUUGUAAUUUGGAGAGGGCAACUUUGGGGCCGUUCCUUGUCUAUGUUCCUUGGAACAGGACGUCAUAGAGGGUGAGAAUCCCGUGUGGCGAGGAGUGCGGUUCUUUGUAAAGUGCCUUCGAAGAGUCGAGUUGUUUGGGAAUGCAGCUCUAAGUGGGUGGUAAAUUCCAUCUAAAGCUAAAUAUUGGCGAGAGACCGAUAGCGAACAAGUACAGUGAUGGAAAGAUGAAAAGAACUUUGAAAAGAGAGUGAAAAAGUACGUGAAAUUGUUGAAAGGGAAGGGCAUUUGAUCAGACAUGGUGUUUUGUGCCCUCUGCUCCUUGUGGGUAGGGGAAUCUCGCAUUUCACUGGGCCAGCAUCAGUUUUGGUGGCAGGAUAAAUCCAUAGGAAUGUAGCUUGCCUCGGUAAGUAUUAUAGCCUGUGGGAAUACUGCCAGCUGGGACUGAGGACUGCGACGUAAGUCAAGGAUGCUGGCAUAAUGGUUAUAUGCCGCCCGUCUUGAACCCCCGAAACACA
rnacentral:rRNA from 1 species